ACUACCUACAUUAAUUAUUACUGUUUAUUUUUUUAAUAAAAACUAUAUAAAUACACACAUCAAAACUAAUUUUUAAUGUGUGUAUUUAUAUUUUAUAUUAAUCAAAAUAUUACAUUCUUUAUCAAAAUUGGUACAAGGUUUUUCCAGUACGUAUCUUAGUUCUCAUAAAGGAAUGGCGCCAAAGAUUAAACCUCUGACUAAUACAAAUUGAAAGAAAGAGCUUCUAUUGAGAUAUCGGAUGUCAGCAUAACUUCAAGUAAACGAAAAAAAAAUCGUUCAUCAUGCGGAUAAAGUCGAUACUUAUUUGUUUUAACAAUUUAUUUCAAGUUCGUUGUUUAUUUG